UACGUAGGGACCAAGCGUUGUUCGGAUUUACUGGGCGUAAAGCGUGCGCAGGCGGUUUUGUAAGCCAGAUGUGAAAGCCCCGGGCUUAACCUGGGAAUGGCAUUUGGGACUGCAAGGCUUGAGUGCGGCAGAGGAGACUGGAAUUCCUGGUGUAGCAGUGAAAUGCGUAGAUAUCAGGAGGAAUACCGAUGGCGAAGGCAGGUCUCUGGGCUGACACUGACGCUCAUGCACGAAAGCGUGGGGAGCAAACAGG
rnacentral:rRNA from 1 species